AAUGUAAUGCCUACAACGUUAAUGCAUUGGAUCCCAUUAGAACUCUGCAGUUAAGUACACUUUGGUUAAAUUAGUACUAGGAUUGGUGACCUCCUGGGAAGUUCUAGUGUUUUACAUGC
rnacentral:rRNA from 1 species